GGGUGAUAGGAUGUGACGUGUCCUCGAGUCCACUGAAACUGGUGUAAACGCGGACUGCUUUACUGAAAAGCACAAAGCUUCUCAUCAGCCAGUGAAAUAACUGGUUAAAUUAGUGGAAAUGGGCUUUAUGUUGCCUGCAAUCAUUUGAAGAUUAGCAGCGUGGACUACUACAUAUGCCACAGAUCAUCAGCGGUGUGUCCGAUAUACCAGUGUUCUUUUGGAAACCCUUCCUCUGCUGUGACAACAUCAAAGCAUCACUUUACAUCUUUGUUUUAGAAGAUACAAUACCAGUCAAAAGCUUCAGUACCACAGAUUUUAGGAGUAUCUAUGCAUAUUAGUUUAGUUAUUUGUGUGUUUACUUAAAAAAGGAAGAUUAUAGAUGGGUUUGACAGGAUAUGUAAUUUUUAUUGCAAAUAAUUAAAUGUUGUAAAAUUCCAAUAAAAUUAAAACCAAAAACAUAAACCAAAAUGACUUGUAACAGUGUUAGAACACUGACUGGAUCGACUUGUAAGAAGCAUGAAAACUAAAUGACCUGCUUUGUACAGUUUUUAAUAAGAGGUGAAGGUUAAUUAAAUGAACAGUACAUGUCAGUUGAAACAGUAACAUUUCUGUAAAUAACGGAAGAGAAAAUGGCAAAACGCACUCAGUUAAGCAGAGAAAAAAGAGCGUCUGUAGUUGCUUUAAGAAAUGAGGGCCAAACAUUAAGACAAAUAGCCAAAGCACUUCAAGUGUCUGUAAGUGCUGUGGCGAAGACUAUCAAACGUGUUCAAGAAACUGGUACUUACGAAGAUAGAGCCAGGUCAGGUAGACCAAAGGCCACCUCAGAAUUAGAAAAUAAGUUUAUUGAAGUCGUAAGUCUACAAGACGGCCAAAACCAGUUAAGCGCACCCAAAAUUCAGGCAAAGCUAAAUGCUCAUAGAAAUUCAGUUGUUUCGAUAUCAACCAUUAAGAGAAGACUGCGAGAAGCUGGUUUAUCUAAACGGCAGAAACACAGAAAAAGUAUAGCUGAGGCCAAAACUGCAGAGAAAAUGGAGAACUGUGAAGCUGAUGUCGCCUCCACUGUAUAGAUUACCAGUCUUUGUUCAUUUGAGACGUUUAAAUGUAAGGAUAAUGCUUAAGUUAUGAAUUUUUUGUUCUGAGAAAAAUGACACUUUUGUUGCUUCUGUAUAAACUGGAUAAAAUUCCAAAAUCAAAAUCAGUUUAUCUACCCUCCAACAAAUAGCCAGACAUGGUGCACUUUAUAUCCGUUGUUCACAUAGUGAAUUUCUUUCAAUUUCACUGUUAUUCUAAAAUGUGUGCAUUUUUUGGAAGGGCCAAGGGGUGGAUGAUGUAAAAAAUGUCUUGAGUUUUGCCAAACAUUGUCAUUUGCCAAAAUGUCCUGAGAUAAAGGAUUUAUCUUCUGAUGAAUCAUGCCCCCUUGCCAUGAGCGUGCUGACCAGUGUUCAGCCUCACUCACAAGAUAACACCUCACAACUUAUACAAGCUGUUUUCAGUGGCAACAUUUAAUGAUCAGUUUAAUCCAUGACUUGACAUAAACACACCAACACAUUAAAAAUAGAUAAUAAAUGUCUGAUUAAGAAAUAAAUAACGACUAACUCAUAAUAAUAACAUGCCUCCAAUAACUUUAAUUUGAUGGAAGAUGCCUAGUCUUGGACUACACAACUAUUUGAAUGGGGAUUUUCUAUUGAAAGAAAAAUGUAGUCUAGGACUACAUUUAGGCUUUGUCCCUCUUUGGGAAACAGACACAAAACAUAGGACCUAAUUAUUUUGACUGGUAUUGUACGUUGAUGCUCAUCCAAAUAAACAGCCAUGGGUUAUCUACACUUCUGCCAGGAUGAUAAAUGCAACUGUAAAGAUGAAUUCCAGCCAACCCAUUCUGAAAACAUCAUCCCAAGCUGUCUACAUGCCUUUCCAACUAUUUCAUGUUAAUGUCCAGACAGUCCUUUCUACGUGACUUCCUGAUCUCUCAGGGUUCUGAUGUGAGGAGUAAAUCUGAGCCAUCUUCUUUUGCCUCCUCCUCUUUAUCUUAAGGAGCAUGGAAGAGGGUCGAGUAACAUUUCUGUGGCCACAGGCACAGAAGAAGCAGAGCAGGAAGAUCUGUUUUCUGUGUGUGGAGAUGAAGCAGGAGAAAAGACUCAGCAUCACAAUAAUGGACACAAUGCACAGGUUUAUAGAGCAAGAGGAACCAGACAUGGAACACGGACACAAACACACAGUUUACCAAAAGUGGCUUAUAAACCCCUUCAUCCAGCAGGUGCUUGAUCUUUGGUGUCUGAAUCAGUCAGCAAAAUGAGUUUACCAAAGUGCACAUUGGUAAAUGAUGAACAUCAUACACAUGAAACAUAUCCAAAAAAAAUAAAUUUUCCAAAGGAACUUGUAAUUUGACAAGACCCUUGUCUUACUAAUACUGAUGCAUAAAAUAAGUAAUUUCUAUGAUAAUUGUAUGUAUAUUUAAUCUGUUUAGAUAAUUUGUAUUUGAGGUUGUUAAUGUUUGGAGUCAUGUAUGAUUAAAACCAUGAUAUUUUCAAAUGGGCUUAAUGGUUGUAAAACACCUCAGUUGCAUGAUCUGGACCUCUAAAAAUUGUCACCAUGGAAUAGUAUUUGGGAGAUGUAAAUAGCUUAAGGAUGUCUUUUUUUAUGUAUUUUUUUGAAAACAUAUCCACUAUAAAAACCUGCGUCUUAAGAACAACAAGAGUGGUUGAAUUACAGACUUCACAAGUCUCCCAGAAUCUAGAUUGAGUGGCCCAAGAGUGACCACAAACAUGCACGCAGGCGACACAGACUUUUUUCUCCAGUCGCGUGUGUGAAAGAGAGGAAGAGAAAGGUGCUCCCCUCGUGUCCAUAUUCAUGAAGCGCAUACAAAACAGAGAGGGUUCUGAUUGGCCUGUUCUUUGCAAAGUCUGAGUCAGCCAGUCAGAACAGGAUGCGUUCAGGAGCAUCAUGGCUCCUAUCAAAACUUGUUUCACUGCCGAAACUAGCACAGGGGUUGGACAAUGAAACUGAAACACCUGUCAAUUUAGUGUGUGAGGUUUCAUGGCUUAAUUGGGGCAGCCUGGUGGCCAAUCUUCAUUAAUUGCACAUUGCACCAGUAAGAGCAGAGUGUGAAGGUUCAAUUAGCAGGGUAAGAGCACAGUUUUGCGCAAAAUAUUGCAAUGCACACAACAUUAUGGGUGACAUACAGAGUUCAAAAGAGGACAAAUUGUUGGUGCACGUCUUGCUGGCGCAUCUGUGACCAAGACAGCCAUAUAUAUAUGGAAAAGAUAAAGUUCUAUUAUCCUUUAGUUUGUGCCUGAGGAUUUUUGUUUUGGGGCAGGUGAUCGUUGGGGGUCCAAAUCAAGGUCCAGGGGUACCUCCCUAAAAUAAAUGUUUGCAACUUAGGAUGUCUGGAUUUCAUAUUGUUAUGAUUAAUCUGAUUUAAAAUAUAUAUAUUUAUUUUUGACACCACUAAUAUAAACUCAAACAAACAAACAAAAAUAAAUUAUGUAUUAAAUCCUCCGCUCUGUAGGUGGCGGUAGUAAAAUAAUAAGUGGAGUUCAGAUCUACAGAAAUGACCGAAAAAUAGAAGCAGAUGUGGAAGUCGUGGCAGAAAACGCCCCCUGUUAGUUCUCUCAGCCUUCACACACACACCCUGCUGUCUUUUAUCAUGUGAACGUUUGCAGCGUAGAGCUCCAGCGGUGUGUUCUGUCUCACUGUGUGUAGCUUCAAAGCCUGCAGUGUCUUUUGUGAAAAACCCUCAUCUUUGCUCUGAAGAUAUCAGCGUAUCUUUUGGCGUCUUCUUUUAAGCUUCAGUACCAGUCAAAAGCAUCAGUACCACUGAACUAUUACUCAUCAUACAUGUUUACUUUGUUUUCUGCAGGUUAACUAGUAAAAUAACUCAUAAGUUUCCAAUCAGUUAUUGUAAUAGAUUCUUAGCAGGCAAGGAUUCAUUACUGUAGAUAUAUAUACACAGUACUCUGCAAAAUUCUGGUUUAUUUUGUGAUGUAAAUUUAAUUGGGAAAAUUAUAUAUAACAGAAUAUAAAAACAGUAUUUCAGUAAUCCAACCUUUAUUUAUGUGCAACCUACUGAAACUUUAACUCCACUCUUCCUAUUCUAAAUCAUUAAGAUCUAUUUAUUCCAGACACACAUUAACUGACCUGCAAAUAUCUGUUGUGUGUGUUUAACAAUGGAUGAAGGAGAAAUUUCUAAAGAGACUAAAUAUGAGAUAAUCCACUUGCAUGAAGAAGGGAGAGGUCUGAGGAAAAUAAGUGAAAAAACAGGAGUUUCUAAAUCUGAUCUUAAAAAUAUCAUUCAGAAACAUGAAGAAAACGAGACUCUUAAAAUAACUAAAGGCAGAAUCUCUGAGGAGAUUAGAUACAAGAUCAUCCACUUGCAUAAAGAAGGGCAGAGUCAGCGGAAAAUAAGUGAGAAAACAGGCGUUUCCAAAACCGGAAUUCAAAAAAUUAUUAAAAGGUAUAAAGAAAACGGGACCCCUAACAACCGUGCCAGAUCAGGAAGACCACCAAAACUGUCGCCAUCAGACAAAAUGUACCUGCAGCUUUCAUCUCUGGUGGACAGGACAAGAUCGUGCUCAACUCUGGCCUCAGAUUUGAAAAUAUGCACAGGGGUUUCUGUUCAUCCUGCCACUGUGAGAAAACAGCUUAAGGCUAUGGGUCUAAAAGGAUGUGUAAGGAAGUCGUCAGCGAAAAAAGAUACCGUUACCAAAGAAGAAACUGUACACUAGGACACUUACUGGACAUUUGGAGAGAGGUUUAAGGACUGCAGAUCUAUACAUUAAGAGAUCUUAACAGAAGUAACAGAAAUAACAGAAGGCAGUAUGUACACAAUCAAAGUCAAAAUACUCUUCUUACCAUCUCUACAACAAUCUGUAAAGCAUGGUGGAGGAUGAGUACUAAUUUGUGGAUGUAUCAUAAUACUUAAACACCAGUUACUGAAUUCUUAAUGAGGGUUAGUACCAACAAACAAUAUGCAAUAUAUGGUAUUUAUUUUUUGUUUAUUUUUACUGGGCUCCUCCUACAGUCCAAGGUUUAUUCUGCUUUAAUCCUCAAAAAAAAAAUAACAUACAUUUUUGGUCAAGCUGAAAGAUAAAAAAAAAAAAAACACUAAAAUAAAAUAUUACCAUAUUUUACACAGUUAUGACUUAUGGCUUAUUCAGCAUUACGCAGUUCUCGUGAAAGUUACCUUGGCAGCUUUUCAAAAGUUAGCUUUUCAAAAACAUAGUGCAGGUAGCAGCAUGCCAAGCCUAAAGUAGCAACUAUGAAGCAGUCAUUUUCUCUAUUUGAGAGGCCUUUGGAGAACUGGAUGAUUUUAAAGCUCCUAAAGUAGCUCCUAAACUAGCACAGCUAAAUGUUACUAGAAAAGUAGAUGUGUCAAUGGUUCAGGCCAAAAGAAGUUAUUUGAGAGCUGUGAAAUGAAGGUCAGGUUCAUUGUAUCUAAUGAUUACCAGCCACAUUUACAGACACCUGCUUUUAUAUAGUUGAUACUUUUGACUGGUACUGUACUUUGUCCACUUAAGUAUGUUGUUUGGCCAGACUGAUGGAGACACUUGACACAUUGAAGAUGUCCUCUGGAAAUCUGCACAGAUGCCACCAUCAAUGAGUUUUCCUUCAGACUGAAUGGCAAAUUCACUAGUUGAUUCAACUCAUCCCUGUGACAAUCCCUGUGAAUAAAAAUGGUAGUGAAAGAGGGAUACGACAUACAGAAGGUGAUGGAUAUGGCUCAUACUGCACGAGAACUCAAGGAGUUUGCAGAAUGGAGUCUUCAGAGCUCAGUUAGAGCUCCUGCAACAUCUUAAACACUUGUGGUUCACCUAAGGAUUAAUUUCUUUUUAUGUCAUGCUGUAAUUGAUACAGCAUUAAUGCUCGAGAUACAACAUUGAUGCUCAACUGUCAGAACUGCAAUCUGUUACUCUCAGUCUACCUAGCUCUACCCAUCUACCUGUACAAAAACCUGUACAGAAAGUGGAAUGCAAGAAAACAGACUGCGGAUACCAGAAGACAUAUUCCUACUACCCUGGGACUUUCACAAAGUGCUUGUAGCAUCCUACAAUAUGUGUUUUAUUUGAAUGAUAACUGUACAUUUAUAAUUUGUAAAUAUUUAAUCUGUCAAAUUUGCUGAAGUGCUGUAGGAGAUGCUGUUAAUGUUUGAUGCUGUGUAUAAUAAAAUCAUAUUUUGGAAAUUAAGAAUAACUUCCUUGAAUGUGAAAAAAAUGCAAGUUACAUGAUGUGCACAGAUUAUGAAUAUUCCGUUUAUAUUCGUUUCCUUCAAAGAAUAUACUCUACAACAUUCACAUUAGUCCUGAAGGACACUUUUUUGGUCUUUGAACUGGUAAAAUUGGGGUAACGUCCACUUGAUAUCAUGGAUCUGCAGUUAUCAACCUCUUAUGUCUGCCUAUGUUUAGUUGUGUUUUGUUGACUGUGGCUCCUACAGCUAAGCUGACCUGAAAACAUGGUGGUCUAACAGGCAUUGUUAUCUUAUACCAUUCACUCUGUUGCUGUUACUUACUUAUUGUAUCUGAUCAACAUUCCUUUGAUAGACUUAGGAUUUUUGUUAAUAAUAAUGCAUCAGUUUUUUUUAAAUACAAAGAAUUUACAGUGUUGUCACGUCUCAAAUAGAAAACUGUCUUUUUUAUAUUUGACCACUAGAGGGCAUGAGAGUAGUUUUAAAAUGUGGAUGGCAUAUAUAUAUGUGUGUUAUUUAUAAAUUAAGCUCCAUGCUAUGAAAGGACUAGAAAUAAAAUAUUUUUC